rnacentral:lncRNA from 1 species
ACCAGAAUUAUUGAAGUAAUUCCUAACGACUUCUUUAUCGCCCCCACCGACUUCUUCCGCCUGAAGACGACGUCGGCGUUCCGGGUCAGUGAAGGAGAGAACCGCUGCUAAGGCAGCGACUGAACCUCCACCUAUGAGAGCAACAGUGGUGCUAUCCAAAACGGAGAGGUCGGUAACCGAUGUAGCGGUGGAUAAGGGUGGAAUGGCCGCGACUGUGGUGGUUGUUACGGUUGUUUUCAGUUUGUUAGGAAGUUUUGGAGGGAAUGUAGAGAAGAAUCUAGAGUUAGUGUGGAAAUGAAUGGGAGAAGAUAGAGAG